rnacentral:rRNA from 1 species
AGCUCCAAUAGCGUAUAUUAAAGUUGUUGCAGUUAAAAAGCUUGUAGUUGGAUUUGUGGUGGUGCCUGCGGUCCAAAAUGUUUUGGUACUGUCGGGCGCUGCCAUCCUUGGGUGGAAUCUGUGUGGCAUUAGGUUGUCGUGCAGGGGAUGCCCAUCGUUUACUGUGAAAAAAUUAGAGUGUUCAAAGCAGACUUACGUCGUUGAAUAUAUUAGCAUGGAAUAAUGAGAUAGGACCUUGGUACUAUUUUGUUGGUUUGCGCACCGAGGUAAUGAUUAAUAGGGACAGUUGGGGGUAUUCGUAUUCCAUUGUCAGAGGUGAAAUUCUUGGAUUUCUGGAAGACGAACUACUGCGAAAGCAUUUACCAAGGAUGUUUUCAUUAAUCAAGAACGAAAGUACGCA